UACAGAGGGGGCAAGCGUUGUUCGGAAUUACUGGGCGUAAAGCGCACGUAGGCGGCUUUGUAAGUUAGAGGUGAAAGCCUGGAGCUCAACUCCAGAAUUGCCUUUAAGACUGCAUCGCUUGAAUCCAGGAGAGGUGAGUGGAAUUCCGAGUGUAGAGGUGAAAUUCGUAGAUAUUCGGAAGAACACCAGUGGCGAAGGCGGCUAUCUGGACCGACUGUACGC
rnacentral:rRNA from 1 species